GAUACUACACCUUUGGAAGAAGCAGGUCCCUGAAAGAAGUAACUGCUGCAAUCACUGUCUCUUUCUUCAUAGUAAUCGGUGCACUUAGGUUCGAUAUGUCGUCAAAGAUCAUAAUUGGCGUUUGUUUUCUGGCUGUCUUCCUGGCGGUCAUCUGUGCUGAAGACACCGACGUGGCCAGUUCCAGUCUGUACGUUGAGGAGGAGCGAUAUUGCAAUUUCCCAAGCAGACAUGUAGCAUGUAAAUGCCUUAAUGUACUAAUGGAAGACGACGUGUGUUCGUAAAAUCAUGCGUGUCCACUGCCAAAUACAAGAAUUCCAAAAAAACUCGCAAGGGAUAAAAACGGGGAGAAAAUGGAAGCAACCCGCCAGCUGACCCAGAAGAUAAAAAACUCAAAAACAACACAAAUACAAGUUCUUACUUUAUAAUCGGAUGUAUAUCAGACUUGAAUAUAACUCACAUUUGCUAUUCUAACAUAAGACUCAUUUAGAUUUUCGUUGUAAAUCUAUCAUCUAUCCUUUUAGAAUAAUGAAUAUAAUUUUGACAAGAAAAGUAAAAUAUAGUAUUGAUCUUCACUUAUAAUAUGUAUUGGGGCGUGAAUUGAUUUCUCUUCUUGACUAAUAAUAUUGAUACUCAACGACCAAACAACAAAGUGCCCCUAAAAUACAUUAUAAAAUGAUAACAAAUAGUGCAUGCGAAAAAUCAUGGGAUCGCCGCGCGGUCGUAAAUGAAUUACAUCUUAAGAAAAGACGCUUUAAAACUUCAAGCAUUGCCAACCAUGCACUUCCAUUUUUUCUAUAGUAAACAUCGAUCUACAAUGCUAGGAAAGUAUGGACCUAUAGGUCCGUUGGGAAAAGUGACAUUGUUUAUUGAAUGUGUAAGGAAAAAAAAUGGUCUCAUAAUCACAUGGGUGGUAUAUUAAACCAUUUUUUAUGGCGAAACUUUAAUCACACUUGAGAAAACAAGUAAUUAUUAAUAUUUCUAAUUAUAAAAAAAAAGUUUAAGGGUUAGAAUACCAAAAUUGAUCUUGAUACAUCAUUAUCUUAGCCAACGCGGUCUUACAACGCUUAUGGAAGCCAAUCGUGUUUAAUUAUAAAUGGACACAUAUCCAGAUAUCCAACGCGUACUAUACAAAUAUCUAUCCUGACUUCAUUUCUUUAUUCAUUCAUACAUAUUCCAAUAGCUUCACAAAAUCAGAGAUAUAAUUACUCUUUUGCAUCUUGGUCCUGGUGGAUAAAAACGCAGUAAGAUAGUAAUUGAACUAAAAAAAGAACUUUGC